rnacentral:lncRNA from 1 species
UGGGCUCCUUCCUUGCCAUAUCAUGGGAUGAGAUGGGACCGUGUCCUUGGGCUGCAUCGCCCUCUCUGUGUGUCUCUCUUGGGUACAUUUAUCUUUUUUUUUCUUUUUUUCUUCUUUUUUCGAGUGGCAUUCAGAAGCACAGAGGAUAAGCUUAACAAUUUGUGAUUCUAAGAUGAGAAGUUGAAGGGGGAAAGCAAGACGUCUCCUCAGUUUGUCUGCAGAAGUUGAGGGAAAGGUGGUAGGGGGAAAGCCUUGGUGUGCUGGGACAUACCUCCCUCAUCCUGCCUCAAAGAAACAGACUCUGUUCCUGGAUCCUGACCUUUCUAAAAAUUGAUCCCUUCCCUUUUGCUCUAGGAGGUUUCAUGCUGGCUUUGUGGAAGAGAGAUUAGCUCCUUGUGUCCCUUUUCCCCUGGGGUUUGGUGCACAGGCUCCUCCCUAAAGGUUGUGGUUUCUGGUGGCCUUCCCAGGGUAGAACAGCCACCAGAGGUAGAACAGCCAAGACAGGAUGGCUCCUGCCUCCCUCCGCUGUCUCUGGGGCAUAUCCUUAUCUGCUCAGAUUAGGAUGAGGAUGGCAAAUUGGAGAGCAAUGUGUGUGUUUUUGCUUCUGGCCUGACCUCGGUUCAUGGAAGAAAGUUGAAGCGACAGAAUUAUUUUCAAAAAUAAAGGCUAAAUUGUCCGAAAAACUGUGUGUAUGUGUUUGUGUCCUAGCACAGGAGGAGGGGUGGAGAGGUGAUGGCUAGAGGAAGGAGGAAAAAGAAGGGAAAAAGGAAGGAGGAAAAAGAAGGGAGAAUAGGGACUGAGGGAAAGGGCUGGUUGGGCAAGAGGAAAUGGAUCAGCUAAAGGAAGGAAAGCAGAUGACCGGAAGAUGACAGCUGGGAGGGUUGGGUGUGAAAGAAAGGCCAGGCAUGGAGGUGGAGAGGGUCUGAGCUACAGUUCCCUUGCUGCUAAUCUCUGGAGUUGGGCUGUGAACCUUUGGUGGGCUUGAGCUUGCUGUCAGCCUGAAAGCCUGGCCUGAGAACCCUGGCAGUCCCUGACAGAAUGGGUGCUGUGUGCUGGGUGCCCCCUGGUGGUCAUGCAUUUCCUGGGCAUCCUCCUGGCCCUGGCCCUGAGCUCUGGAUGCAGAGCUGAUACCAGGUAAGCUCUGGCAGUGGCACUCAGAGUCCUGACCAUGAUCCCAGUGAAAAUGCCUUUUACUGCCACCUACAACAUACAUGUAACUGAUAAACAUUUC